rnacentral:rRNA from 1 species
CAAUAGCGUAUAUUUAAGUUGUUGCAGUUAAAAAGCUCGUAGUUGGAUUUCUGAAUUGAAUAUCCGGUCCGCUCGUCUCUGAUGAGUGCGUACUUAUGGAUAUUGGAUUCAUUUUUUGUGAGGACAUUUAUCUGUCAUUAAGUUGAUGGAUUUAUAGACUUGCAUCGUUUACUGUGAAAAAAUUAGAGUGUUUAAAGCAGGCGUUCGCCCAUUUGAAUACAUUAGCAUGGAAUAAUAAGAUAUGACUUUGGUGGUCUAUUUUGUUGGUUUGCACACCAGAGUAAUGAUUAAUAGGGACAGUUGGGGGUAUUCAUAUCUCAACGUCAGAGGUGAAAUUCUUAGAUCGUUGAAAGAUGACCUUAGGCGAAAGCAUUUACCAUGGAUGUUUUCAUUAA